AUGAAUAGGAGAAGCAGGAUUCAUCCUGGAAGAUCAUAUGGGCAUUAUAAUGAAACGCAGCUUAAAGGAUCCUAGUUUGACUUGCAGCUGCACUGCAUCCCAGCUUUGUAAUAGAUUCUGAUAUCGUGUCCAGAGAAUGUUUCUGAUCUUUCUGUACUGUAACAAACUCAAAACCUGAAUUAAAUCUGAUCAAAUAUUAUUAGUUGGAUAUAAACUUUCUGAAAUCAAGGAAAUAGUGUUUAUAGUGUCACAGAAAUCAUCAAAAUUAAAUAACAUGGAAAUGUGACUUGGGAAGACAAUUCUUUCACCUUGCAGAGUUUCCAUCCAUUCGUUAAGGCAUGUUUGCUCCACGGAGUUUCCUUAAAAUCAGACAGUUUCCUCCAGGUUCUCUGGUUUCCUCCCACCUCCCAUUAACAUGCAGGAUCCUGCAGCUGAUCCAGUUGAGCUGGAAUGAGGCAAGUCUUCUGGGGUUGUGGAAAGCCAGAGCACUUGACUACGCCUAAGUAAAAGUGGGAGGAGCUAGAUGUGCAGGUGCUGUUGACAGCAGCAUUACACCAGACCAACCCGUCAUAUCUUCAAGUGAAGGCAGCAGCACCACACUGACCUGC